AUGAUCUCCCAGGCUCAGCUCCUCUGGCUGUUAGUGCUCUGGAUCCAGGAUUCCAGUGGGCAGAUUGUGCUGACUCAAACUCCAGAAUCCCUGGCAGUGUCUCCAGGAGAGAGAGUCACCAUCAACUGCAAAGCCAGUUCAAGCCUCACCCAUAGCUCUACAGGCAAAGAGCAUUUAGCCUGGUAUCAGCAGAAAUCAGGACGAGCUCCUAAACUCCUUAUUUAUUAUGCUUCCACCCUGCAAUCUGGCAUCCCAGCCCGGUUCAGUGGUAGUAGAUCAGGAAGUGAUUAUACCCUCACCAUCAGCAGGGUUGAAGCUGAAGACGCUGGAGAUUAUUAUUGUCAACAGCACAAGAGCUUCCCUCUCACAGUGAUACAGACCAGCUCCAGUGGGCAGAUUGUGCUGACUCAGACUCUAGAAUCCCUGGCAGUGUCUCCGGGAAACAGAGUCACCAUCAACUGCAAAGCCAGUUCAACUCUUAUCAAUUCAGCCAUUGAGCACUUGGCCUAG